UACGUAGGGUGCGAGCGUUGUCCGGAAUCAUUGGGCGUAAAGCGCGUGUAGGCGGCCCGGUAAGUCCGCUGUGAAAGUCCAGGGCUCAACCCUGGAAUGCCGGUGGAUACUGUCGGGCUCGAGUCCGGAAGAGGCGAGUGGAAUUCCUGGUGUAGCGGUGAAAUGCGCAGAUAUCGGGAGGAACACCGGUGGCGAAGGCGGGUCUCUGGGCCGAUACUGACGCUGAGGAGCGAAAGCGUGGGGAGCGAACAGG
rnacentral:rRNA from 1 species